UGGGGAAUAUUGCACAAUGGGCGAAAGCCUGAUGCAGCGACGCCGCGUGAAGGAUGAAGUAUUUCGGUAUGUAAACUUCUAUCAGCAGGGAAGAAAAUGACGGUACCUGACUAAGAAGCCCCGGCUAACUACGUGCCAGCAGCCGCGGUAAUACGUAGGGGGCAAGCGUUAUCCGGAUUUACUGGGUGUAAAGGGAGCGUAGACGGCUGUGCAAGUCUGAAGUGAAAGGCAUGGGCUCAACCUGUGGACUGCUUUGGAAACUGUGCAGCUAGAGUGUCGGAGAGGUAAGUGGAAUUCCUAGUGUAGCGGUGAAAUGCGUAGAUAUUAGGAGGAACACCAGUGGCGAAGGCGGCUUACUGGACGAUGACUGACGUUGAGGCUCGAAAGCGUGGGGAGCAAACA
rnacentral:rRNA from 2 species